rnacentral:rRNA from 1 species
AUUGAACGCUGGCGGCAUGCCUUACACAUGCAAGUCGAACGGUAACAGGUCUUCGGAUGCUGACGAGUGGCGAACGGGUGAGUAAUACAUCGGAACGUGCCUAGCAGUGGGGGAUAACUACUCGAAAGAGUGGCUAAUACCGCAUGAGAUCUACGGAUGAAAGCAGGGGAUCGCAAGACCUUGUGCUACUAGAGCGGCCGAUGGCAGAUUAGGUAGUUGGUGGGAUAAAAGCUUACCAAGCCGACGAUCUGUAGCUGGUCCGAGAGGACGAUCAGCCACACCGGGACUGAGAGACGGCCAGGACUCCUACGGGAGCAGGCAGUGGAGAAUUUUGGACAAUGGGCUAAGCCCUGAUCCAGUAAUGCCGCGUGCAUGAUGAAGGCCUUCGGGUUGUAACCUGCUUUUGUACGGAACGAAAAGCCCCGGGUUAAUACCCUGGGGUCAUGACGGUACCGUAAGAGUAAGCACCGGUUAACUACGUGCCAGCAGCCGCCGUAA